rnacentral:rRNA from 1 species
AUGAAGUUGGAAUCGCUAGUAAUCGCGGAUCAGCAUGCCGCGGUGAAUACGUUCCCGGGCCUUGUACACACCGCCCGUCACACCAUGAGAGUCGGGAACACCCGAAGUCCGUAGCCUAACUUAUCUGAGAGGGCGCGGCCGAAGGUGGGUUCGAUAAUUGGGGUGAAGUCGUAACAAGGUACC